rnacentral:rRNA from 1 species
UUAGGAAUCUUGCGCAAUGGGGGAAACCCUGACGCAGCAACGCCGCGUGAAGGAUGAAGGCUUUCGGGUUGUAAACUUCUUUUAGCAGGAAAGAACACAAUGACGGUACCUGCAGAAAAAGCACCGGCUAACUCUGUGCCAGCAGCCGCGGUAAUACAGAGGGUGCAAGCGUUAUUCGGAUUUACUGGGCAUAAAGAGCGCGUAGGCGGUUUAAUAAGUCUGAUGUGAAAUCCCUGGACCCAAUCCAGGAAGUGCAUCGGAUACUGUUAGACUAGAGUACAGGAGGGGAGAGCGGAAUUCCAGGUGUAGAGGUGAAAUUCGUAGAUAUCUGGAGGAACAACAGUGGCGAAGGCGGCUCUCUGGACUGUUACUGACGCUGAGGCGCGAAAGCGUGGGGAGCAAACAGG